UACGAAGGGGGCUAGCGUUGUUCGGAAUUACUGGGCGUAAAGCGCACGUAGGCGGAUCGAUCAGUCAGGGGUGAAAUCCCAGAGCUCAACUCUGGAACUGCCUUUGAUACUGUCGAUCUAGAGUAUGGAAGAGGUGAGUGGAAUUCCGAGUGUAGAGGUGAAAUUCGUAGAUAUUAGGAAGAACACCAGUGGCGAAGGCGGCUCACUGGCCCGGUACUGACGCUGAGGCGCGAAAGCGUGGGGAGCAAACAGG
rnacentral:rRNA from 1 species